rnacentral:rRNA from 1 species
AACGUAGGAGACAAACGUUAUCCGGAGUUACUGGGCGUAAAGGGCGUGUAGGUGGUUUCGUAAGUCUGGCGUGAAAUUUUUCGGCUUAACCGGGAAAGGUCGUCGGAUACUGCGGAGCUAGAGGACGGUAGAGGCGUGUGGAAUUCCGGGUGUAGUGGUGAAAUGCGUAGAGAUCCGGAGGAACACCAGUGGCGAAGGCGACACGCUGGGCCGUACCUGACACUGAUGCGCGACAGCAUGGGGAGCAAACAGG